rnacentral:rRNA from 1 species
ACGCACGCUGGCGGCGUGCUUAACACAUGCCAGUCGCACGGAAAGGCCCUGCUUUUGUGGGGUGCUCGAGUGGCGAACGGGUGAGUAACACGUGAGUAACCUGCCCUUGACUUUGGGAUAACUUCAGGAAACUGGGGCUAAUACCGGAUAGGAGCUCCUGCUGCAUGGUGGGGGUUGGAAAGUUUCGGCGGUUGGGGAUGGACUCGCGGCUUAUCAGCUUGUUGGUGGGGUAGUGGCUUACCAAGGCUUUGACGGGUAGCCGGCCUGAGAGGGUGACCGGCCACAUUGGGACUGAGAGACGGCCCAGACUCCUACGGGAGGCAGAAGUGGGGAAUAUUGCACAAUGGGCGGAAGCCUGAUGCAGCAACGCCGCGGGCGGGAUGACGGCCUUCGGGUUGUAAACCGCUUUCGCCUGUGACGAAGCGUGAGUGACGGUAAUGGGUAAAGAAGCACCGGCUAACUACGUG